UUGUUUCAGGAAAAGUCUCCCCUACUGGCCAUCCUCAUCUCCCUCUGUCCGUGUUAUUAGCUGCUGCACCUGCUUCUGUUCUGCUCUUUCUGGUCUUACUGGUCGUUCUGGUGAGACGAUGUGUUCAAGCUGCUAAAAAGGACGACAUCAGCUACAGUCAGGUGGACAUCAUCAGCCAGAAGAAACCCCCAAAGAGUCAGAGACCUGGUACUGAUCCAGAAAUCCUCUACUCUGAAGUCAGAAGAACCUGACCCACAGAAGCCAUCAGCUGUGGAUCCUCUACAGAGUGGACCUGCAGCUGUUUAUCUCCUCUAUAGCAGAAUGUGGCGGCCUUCAACGAGUCACACUGCUUUGUUCUGUAUGUAAAGCGGGUUCACACAGCAAGCUGAUGUGCACAUCUUUAAAAAAAGAAAAAAAAGGAUUUAAGUUCAAUUUCUACACUUGUUUUUCAUGAGAACAUUAAUUUU